CGGUAACCACCGGUAGUCGGUACACCGUUCAGUCAGUCGACGACACGCGGCUACAUUGUGCGAUCGUUGUUUUUCUUUCUUCUUAUAACCACACGUAAUUCGGUCGUGUCGGCGUGUCGUUGUAUUGCCGCGUCAGCAAUAACAUUCAAUAAUAAUAUUAACGUAAACAAUUAUAACAUUAUUUAUUUCGUUCGAUAUCCGUUGUACUCGUAUUGUGCCGUGUUCAACCGUACGCCUUCGUCCAUACCAAUGUCACAUUAGAGAUGUCCGUCAUUAUCGGUUUGGUCCUAAUAAAUGGUCUCAUAGUUUUACGUCUUCGCCGCGCGAUUUGUGCACCGACAGAUAUGCAUUUCCGGUGAUAUUAUGCCCAUACCCAUACAAAACCGUCGUUGGGACAGCAACAAUAUACUCGGGGCGGCCACUCGAGUCCACCGCGAUGGCCGUGUUGGUCGGUGGCCGCGACCACGUGGUGUCUAUAUCGGUGGUAGAGUCCCUGAAAAUGUUCUCUCUCUCCGUGGUCUGGGGUUCGUGGAUCGUCGUCAAGAACGCAAUCGCUCUAGCCGUCCGGCCGCUGUGGUUGGACGGCGGCCACGGAAUCCAUAGACACGCGGCCGUCGAUGACGGCGCUGUCACCACUGCGGUCGGUGGCAAAGUCAUCCGCCGGGCGCUCAGAGAUCGUCCGCCACCGUGUCUGUUCAACGCGGUUUACGGUAUCCACUCGUACGUCAAAGUCAAGGGUGUCAAAUUACAUUAUGUUGAAUGUGGAGACCCUAAAGGUAUAGUCGUCCUUUUACUACACGGAUUCCCAUCUUGUUGGAUUAGUUGGCAUCAUCAAAUACCUACUUUGUCAAAACAUUUUCGUGUGAUUGCUGUGGACCUUAAAGGUUUUGGCGACUCUGAUAAACCGUCAGCACGUAAAAGUUAUCGAAUAGAAAAUUUGGUUGACGAGCUAGUCAUGUUUUUAUCGAUGCUUGGAGUAGACGGCCGUAAUAAAUGUCACGUAAUCGGCCACGACUUGGGCGCUCUACUGGGUUGGUAUUUGGUGCAUUUAUGGCCAAAUUGUGUUUCGAAAUUUGUAGCCAUUUCAUGUCCACAUCCCAAUGUCUACUGGGAAUAUUUGCCACCAUCAAGUUUCUUUAACAAAAAUUGGAUUUGCUUCAGUCAACUUCCUUAUUUACCAGAAAUGGAUGCUUUGCAAAGUGAUCUCAAAAUAAUAAAUAAGUGUUAUCAACAUCUAUCUAAAACUAAUCAAAGCGAUGAAUUAUCUUACAUUGAUGCAUAUAAAUAUACAUUUUCAAGAACAGAGGAUUGGACAGGUGCAAUAAAUUAUUUUAGAAACUUACCGUUCUAUAGAAUUGAGCCUCGGAAUACCUGUAAGAAUGAUUUUUUAAAUAAAGAAGAAGACAUGCUACAAGUUCCGUGUUUGAUCAUUACUGGCAGUAAAGAUGUAAGUGUGCGAAUAGAGAGUUUUAUUAAGUCUACAGAGUUUCUUAAAACAUCUAAUGUGAGAAUAAUUGAUAACUCAUCGCAUUUCCCUCAUCAAGAGCAACCUAAAGUAGUCAAUGAUCUAUUGAUAUCGUAUUUAGGUUUUUGCAAUAAUGAAAACAAAAUCCACUCUCUGUUUUUUGUUGGAUAAUUAUUUAAGAAUUUCUUCUGGGCUUAUUUACAUUGUACAAUGUAGUGAAUCGAUAUUAUAGCUAUGCAAUUAAGUUAUAUUUUACUCAUUAGAAAAUUUACCAAGAUUCUUCGUGUAAAAAAAAAUCAAAAAGAGCUUCGAUCACAGAACUCUGGUGGAAUAGUUGGACGAAUGAAAGAUAUCGUUACGUCU